UUGAGAUCAAAACAUCUGAGGACAAAUUGAACCCCCUUCUUUAUAAGAUAACUUUAUUUGUGCGAACUGGGUUCAUACAAGCACAAGGAAACCACUUUGAAAAGUUUGCAAAAGAAGACUUUCCUCAACUUAUCCACAUAAUGGGGACUCUUACUGAUGAAACCUCACAAAAACAAAUAAUAACCGACACAACACCGCCAACAGAUGCUAAUAAUAAUGGCACGUACACGAAACUCAAAACUCCAAUUUCAACUAAGAACCAACAUACUGAAACUGAACAAGAAGACACU
rnacentral:lncRNA from 1 species